AAUAAGUGCAGUUUUACACUAUUCACGUUUAGCGUUUGAACGUUCGUCUUAUUUGAAAAUUUUUUAUAAUUAGUAUUUUUAUUACUAUUAGAUGAUAAAACAUGAAUAGUACUUUAUGUGUGACUAAAUAUUUUUAGAUUUUUUAUAAAUUUUUCAAAUAAGACGGACGGUCAGGACACGGAUAUCCACGACUGCACUUAUU
rfam:Oryza barthii chromosome 12, whole genome shotgun sequence.